GACCACGCCUGGCUGAGGGUCG
rnacentral:rRNA from 1 species